rnacentral:piRNA from 1 species
UCCCUGAGCUCCCAGGUCACUGGUGUCCUU